rnacentral:ncRNA from 14 species
CAGUGGAGGGCAAGUCUGGUGAACCGCUUUUANUAGCACCAAAGCCCGCCGUAAAAAAAAANCAUAGCCAGAUGUCGGAAACNGGCAACGUCAUGGAAAAAUUUCUCGAGCACCAUGAUACACUUGUAAAUUGCGGGAAACUCUUGAUAAGCCUCACAUACCCGSGUCCCGCCGGAGAGGUUAGAUUUAGUAAUAGAUCAGGAUGCAGCAGUGGGUGUAAUGGCCCACGGAUGGUAAAAACUGUGAGGAUAGAGACAAUCCGCAGCCAAGCGUCACCUUUGAAAGGAGAUGGAGGUUCAGAGACUAUAAUCAGGUGGGCGCAAGCUUAAGGUAUAGUCCAGUCCACCCNGGAAGGGGGUCCAAUGAAGUACGGGGAAAUUCAGCUCAUCCCCUAGGGCAUUGGAGGGAAGUGCACUACAAGAAAAGUGCCCUCGGUAGAAACGGCCAGCAGCCGCGGUAAUUCCAGCU